UAGCGUAUAUUAAAGUUGUUGCAGUUAGAACGCUCGUAGUCGGAUUUCGGGGCGGGGCGACCGGUCUGCCGAUGGGUACGCACUGGUCGGCGCGUCCUUCCUUCCGGAGACCGUGCCUACUCUUAACUGAGCGGGGGCGGGAGACGGGACUUUUACUUUGAAAAAAUCAGAGUGUUUCAAGCAGGCAGCUCGCUCUUGCAUGGAUUAGCAUGGGAUAAUGAAAUAGGACUUUGGUGCUAUUUUGUUGGUUUCGAACACCGAAGUAAUGAUGAGAAGGGACAGUCAGGGGCACUCGUAUUCCGCAGAGAGAGGUGAAAUUCUCAGACCCGCGGAAGACGAACCACUGCGAAAGCAUUUG
rnacentral:rRNA from 1 species